CGGCCCGCCAGAGGACCCCUAAACUCUGUUUCUAUAUGUAACUUCUGAGUAAAACCAUAAAUAAAUCAAAACUUUCAACAACGGAUCUCUUGGUUCUGGCAUCGAUGAAGAACGCAGCAAAAUGCGAUAAGUAAUGUGAAUUGCAGAAUUCAGUGAAUCAUCGAAUCUUUGAACGCACAUUGCGCCCGCCAGUAUUCUGGCGGGCAUGCCUGUUCGAGCGUCAUUUCAACCCUCAAGCACAGCUUGGUGUUGGGACUCGCGUUAAUUCGCGUUCCCCAAAUUGAUUGGCGGUCACGUCGAGCUUCCAUAGCGUAGUAGUAAAACCCUCGUUACUGGUAAUCGUCGCGGCCACGCCGUUAAACCCCAACUUCUGAAUGUUGACCUCGGAUCAGGUAGGAAUACCCGCUGAACU
rnacentral:rRNA from 1 species